UACGUAGGGUGCAAGCGUUGUCCGGAAUUAUUGGGCGUAAAGGGCGCGUAGGCGGUCCAUCACGUCGGGAGUGAAAAGCUGGGGCUUAACCCCAGUCCUGCUUCCGAUACGGGUGGACUAGAGGUAGGCAGGGGAGAACGGAAUUCCUGGUGUAGCGGUGAAAUGCGCAGAUAUCAGGAGGAACACCGGUGGCGAAGGCGGUUCUCUGGGCCUUACCUGACGCUGAGGAGCGAAAGCGUGGGGAGCAAACAGG
rnacentral:rRNA from 1 species